AGUCCGUGGGUCAGACUAGUGGAGGUUGUUUAUCCGCUUCCGUUGCCUCGGUUAAGACCUCCGCCGACUCCCAACUCCGAGCCGAUCUCGAAGGGCAGUGGACGUUGCCGGGGAGUUUGACGAGCCUCAGGGAAGGAACUGCCUUUCUGAGAACCCCGGACCCACCGUGCCAGAGGCCAGCGCAAGGCGCGGCCCCUGCUUUGUGUUCUUUUGGCACCAGAGCUCGGCUUUCCCUCGGGCUCACCUGCCUUCUCUGCAGGUGCUGAGAUUCGCUGUCAAAGUGGCUCAGCUGCUACUUGGCAGAAGGAACCUGUGGUCGUGAAGUGCGACUUGAUUAGGCCCUUCCAGGUGGGGAAAUAGAAGGCAUUCAGGCCGAGAGGUCAUGGCGCCGAAGCUUCAUCAGCUCCUCUAAAGAUAUUUGCACUCUUCUGUGGAAGUUUUUGCUCAUUUUUCACGUGUGGCCCAUGCAGUUGGCAGAGUGGUGGUUACUGGGACGCAUCACAAAUUUCAGCUGGCCACCACAUUGCUUUCAAGGUUGCCAUCUAACUUUGGCGCAGCCGCCGCUAAUUUGUAGCAGGAUGGCGUUCUGGUUCCACUCGGCUUGCGGGGGGCGAGAGCCUGUCUCAGACGGACCUUGGGCCUGGGACGUUUGUCCCCAGCGUCUGCUGGGGUGCAGCGGCCUGAGGUCUAAGCACAGGUUGAAACUACAGGUUCAAGCCUUUGACGCUGGAAUGCUGUGAUGCUGGUAUUUUAACAGACAUAACAACUUUCAUGCUACAGAGUACAAUGCACGUGUGCCUGUAAUGAGGUCAGACAUUAAUACGUAAGUUUGGAGCAGCCGUGCGCCCCUGCACCCGCACAGGAGUUAGUGCCGAGCACAGUGCUGGUGGUGAAAUUACAGUGAUUUCACCUCACCAUUUCCCUCUCACAGCUCUUAAGUCGAUACUGUUCUUAUUUUACAGGUGAAGCAUCGGGUUAGGUAUUGGCCUGAGACACAAUCAUGUAUAUUUUUUUUUGUGGGGUGAGGAACCCAGCAAAAAAUCCAGAAUCAUCUGGAGGGUGUGCCCCUUGAAGCACUGGCUGCCCCAACCGAGUGCGUGUUCUAGGAACCCAUCUGUAUGGGUGUGCCAGCUGUGAGGGGCUGUGUUCAAUUUCAGUGAAUUUUUUGAAGGCUCAGCGCAUUUUGCUGUUUCAUGAUGGGUGAUUUAGGAGUGUGCCUGCCCACACUGCCCUGAGCGUUGAGCAGGAAGAGGUGUGACCUCUGCAAAGUCCUUUCUCUUACUGAGGUUUAGUGUCCUGGUGUAACAAGUAUUUAAAUAGAUGGGGCCAGUUUGGGGGCUGGGGGGUGAUGAGACACUAGAACUACUUAAUAGAAGUUCUUCAUAGUAUAAAGAACCUAUAUAAGUUUCCAAAAUUUGGCACAAAGGGAGCAUUCGUCAGCGUGUUGGGGUUUUUGUUUGGUGGCAUAGUGUAAGAAGGGAUUAAAGGACACAGUGGUGUUAGACUGUCAGGAUAAGAAAGCACUGUAGAUAAUGGGGAAAGUUUCAUGUGGGAAGAAAGCGUGACUGCAGCAACACGUGCUGUCAAAGAACAGCCUAGUAUGUGCUAGAAAUUCUUUCUGUUGUUCAGCUCGGUGUCUACAAAUACCUCGUUUUCCUGAAACCUUAAAUAAAGGAAUUUAAUACUCA